UCACAGGUGGUCCAGCCAGUGGUUAGGACUCAGUGCUUUUACUUUGGUGGCCCAGGUUCAAUCCCUGGUCUGGGAA
rnacentral:tRNA from 1 species